AGGGCAAACACCUGUACUGUGUCUUAAUUUACUGUGAGGGCAGUGCAGGUGGAAGCAGAGUGCAGUGGUUAUUCAUGAGCUGCUUGGAUGCUUGGUUAUAGGUGCAGUUUUUAGGUGAGCUUGUAGCGUUGCAAGAAGGGGCCUGCUGGUGGAGAGGUGGUGUUGUUUGGGAGGCUCAUUCUGGAGGAGCAGGUGUUUGUGCUGGGUUUCUGUUUGGUGUGAGGGCACAGGCAGCAGGCAGGUGGUUGUGCAGCAGCUGUGGUGCUCAUGAGCCAAGUGAAGGACAGUUCAUGGCAAUCCAGUUUGUUUACUUCAAUGAAACCAGAAUUUUAAGAAGGAGUCUGAGGGCAGAAGAGGUGAUUCAUUUCUCCAGGAGACAGAGAGUGUAGUCACCAAAGAAAAAAGGACCAUGAGAAAUUUUACUCUAUAUAAGGUAACUGUUUGCUAUAAUGCACUCACAAUGUCUCCAAAGUUUUAACCAGAAGAAAGAGGCAGUGCACAAAAGAAUCGGGUGCUCAGGUCAUACCUGUUUGUAGAGGCGAAGGACAUCAAGACAUUUCACAAAGCAUGUUUUCAGUCACUCGAAGAAAAACUCUGGUGGGAAUCUGAUAUGAAGAAGAGUUGAAAAUAUGUACCCAGAUGCGUUGAUAGCCAAAUUAUUGUGUGUUCCAUGUUGGCUUCAUAAAAGAUGUAGAGCAAAUGCAGUCUGCAAAGAAUUUGCUUUCUGUGUCAGUAUACUUGUUAUUAAAGGAGGGUAUUUUAUGGCAUGGAACUGGUCUUUGAUCAGCAUGGAGAAGAAAAGUCUUCAGGACACCUAAUAGCAGCCUUCCGAAACGAAAGAUGACGCUGAGCUGUUUGGAAGUACGUGAUGGGAGGAUGCCAGUGGGCGCAAACAGAAGUGAGAGACAUUCUAACUGGGCAUGAGGAGAAAACUCUUCACCAAGAGGACAGUCAAGCAGUGGAGCAGGUUGCCUGGAGAGGUUGUAGUCUGCCUCCUUGGAGUCUUUCAGACCUGACUUGCUGCAGCUACACAACUAUUUUGGUAACGUACCAUACCAGUACUCUUACACUGGUAAAAUAAUUCUGUUGUCGAUGUUGCUGAAAUUGCUCCCUCCCUUACCUGGUUUCAUCAGUUGUUUAUUUUCAGUUUGUUUGUUAUACUAUGUAGCAGUUCAACUUUAUCGUAUUUGGGGAUAGUCUCCACUGUGUGGACUGUAUAGCAUUCCUGGUCGUCUAGCAGGUAUGUAUGUUUUACCUUGCUUUCUACAGCAUCAACUUACACUUGCUAAUCUUUCAGAAAUUAGUUCAGUUUAAUUUUUAUGCACUUUUAAAUAGCAUAUUCAGUGUGUGGUAUUUUCUAGCAUUUUAUAGGUUUUUUAAAACAUUUUACAAUGUAUGAACAUUAUAUUAUGAUUGUUAUUACAUUCACCAUCAUCUUUGCUGAGGUGCAGUUUUACGCUGAUCACCUUUGAAGCCCUAGCCAUUGCAGAUGACAUUAGGCAGGUUUUAUUCCAUUUGAGUUUUAGUUUUGCUGACUUUGGCAUCAUUCAAACCGAUAACAUGAUACACCAAUGUGUUGAAAAUAUGAGCAUUUUCUUUAAACACACCUGACAUCCAUAGGGUAGACUUUUAAAUAAAUCUAAAGCAUUGAUUUUUGUUGUUACUAGCUAUGUUGUCCUUCACAACAGGGGCUCUAUAGAUAUAUCUGUACUCCAUGUGACUGCUGUUAGAAUCGGACUGCUUCUGUACAUAAAGCAGGUCUGCAAGCAUGGCCUUGGUACCCCUUCUUGUAUGAGAGAGAGAGAGCAGGUCUGAAUGAUACUAAUAAUUGAUAAAGUGGUUUUUGAAAUAUAAGCAAUUACAAGUUAGGCGAGGCAUUGCUAAGCAACUUCAAAACUUGUUUCAGUCCUACUUUUCCCAUUCCAGUCUUCCAGUUUUCAAAAAAAUAAUGUUCUUACAUGUAGUUAGAACAUUCCCUUAAAACCUGGAGAUUGCUCAGCUGGCUUCCUGCAAAACUAUCACAUUACCUCUAGGCAAAUGUCAUUAAACUGAGCACAGGGCUUUGCUUUCCUCAGCUAGAAAACAUUGUGAAUAGCUUGCUUCCUACCUUGAAUAUGAUUGAGUAGGAAAUAAUUAUAUGUCCAUUUUUGUAGGGUGAUUUAGAUUGCCCAGGAAAAAGGUGAUACAGUGAAAUCAAAUGUAAGGUUACACUUGCAGAAACAAAUACUGCAGGGCUAAGCUUACUGAGCGGUAUACAGCGUUUUGGAAAGCUGUAACGCUUUAAGAGAGGUAGCUGAUAGCUUCACGCACAGUGUGAUGGCCUAAAAAAGAUGGGGCUUAACAGAAAGAAAUACUAAGUGACAGUAAUGUAGCUGUGUUACUACUUUAUGAGGUAUUGAUGGUAUAACUAUGUCAUUAUGUUAGCAGAAUGCUUGGAUGGUAGAAGCUUUCUAAUUUAUGUCAGUGAGCAGGAAUUGUUCCGGAAAAAAACCCAAAACAAACAAACAAACAAAGCCACCAUGAAACCACACUGCUUUGUAGUGAAAAACAGA